UUUAAGUGCAACCAUAAGUUUCCGCGCCCAACUUUAAUCGUCCGUCUUAUUUAAUUUUUUUUAUAAUUAGUAUUUUUGUUGUUAUGAGAUGAUAAAACAUUAAUAAUACUUUACUCGUGACUUAUGUUUUUAAUUUUUUUUCAAAAAAUUUUAAAUAAAACGGUCGGUUAAAGUUGGGCGCGAAAAUUCAUGGCUACACUUAAA
rfam:Oryza meridionalis cultivar OR44 (W2112) chromosome 11, whole genome shotgun sequence.